ACAAUGUUAACCAAGCAGAGGCCUCAAGUGCUGGAAGAGGUGGAAAAACUGUUGCUAGUGUGGUUGAACAAGAAGCCCCUUGCAGGGGAUAGCAUAAGCGAGGCAAUCCUAUGCGAGAAAGCCAGGAUAAUUCAUGGCAAUUUGCUGAAAAACAAUCCUUCUUCGAGUGGCGAAGCCCUGAUCUAACGCCAUGCAACAAUUAAAUCCUCAGUCCAGUUAAAAGAGGUUCUGCGCAGUCUAAGGUUCAACCUCUGAUGAAGUGCAUCAAUCUGCAGGGAGACUAUGUGAAGAAGUGAUAUAACUGUUAUGUUCAUCUGCUCACAGUUACUGAUAUUAAAGGACCAUUCCCGGGGAUUCCACCUGGCUCUCUUGACGUCAC